AUGUCAUAUAGGAGCAACAACCCUGAGAUCUCAUCGUUUGCUUCUAGUAAUCAUAUGCGGGGAUUUAGGUACAAUGAGGAGAGCCACAACUAUGCUCCACAACAGAUUUAUUCAGCUCCUACUCAUAUACCUCAACACCAGGAGAUGUUGCCAAUGGAGUUAAAUGGUCCUCCAUUUGGUCAACCAACAACUCCAGCAACUGCUGAGCAAUCUCAUGUGCAAGUGCCCACACAAGAUGAAUUUGAUGAUAUAGACAAGCUCACAUUGCUUAGUCUCGAGUUCACUUGGAGUGCUGAAGAUGAUCCAAUUAGGCCGAUGAUACUAGAUGAAAUGAAGAAUAUCAAGAGUGGAAAAGAGCUAGUGGAUGAAGUAAGGAAGAUUGAGAAGAACAUCAACGCUAGUAGUACUAUCUCAUCUCUCCUUGAGCUGAGUGCUGCUGAGAUUUCUAGUCAUACAUGUGAGGUUCCAACACCGUCACAUCCAGUUGAGCAAGAUAGCAAGAGUCCAGAGGAAGAAAGACCUCGGAUUGAAGAAGAUGAACUAGAAGACAAGGAACAAGAUGAUCAAGAGCUGCAAUUCCCAAGUGAUCAAGUUGAAGACUCAUCAUCUACUACUCCUGAAGAAAUACAAGAAGCUGCUGUAGAUGAAGAUGAAGAACAUGCGAUUCAUUUGCCUAUCGUCAUACCAGAGCGUGAUGUGUCAGGUUUACCCAAUCCUCUUGAUGACAUGAUGCCUUGUGAUUUCUUUGCUACUACCUUGCAUUACAUGAUACCAUCACUUAACAUUGAUUUGAAAACUCAUUUGCUUGGAUAUGAUGAUAUAUACCCUGUUAGUGGCAUUACUCUCAUUUGUGAUGAUCAUAGUUACUUUCCUCGUGCUAGUCCUAUGCUUCAUGAAACAUAG
rnacentral:rRNA from 1 species